UUUUUUUCUUCUUCUUCUUCCUCCUCCCAGUCCGGUCGCCCACUUCCUGCGCCCAGCCCACAUUAGAUCCACCCAAAACUCCUCCAAAACUCAUAUUUCCUCUCCUUCCUUUUCAAUCUGUGGUAUUUCUUCUCCAUUUUUUUUUCUCUUUACAAACUGUUAGCCCUAAUCUUGCUUUUAUUUUUAUUUUUUUUACCGAUUCCUUGUACUUUGUGCAACAUAAUCCUUUUCUCUACCUAGAUCUAUAUCAUUUCAUCUUAAAUCUUGCAUUUUGUUCAUCUUUUGCAUAUACCCUUGAUUUUUUUUGUUUAAACCCUAAUUAUUUUUUAAUUAUAUA
rnacentral:lncRNA from 1 species